ensembl:lncRNA
CGUAAUCACUUCCAUCUGAGCCCUGCCCAAAGAGAGAGAGAGAGAAAUGGUGGAGGGGCCUCGUCAAGGAGGAGGCCCAGAAGAAGGUGUCAAGGUUCCUAGUGAAGCUGAGGCUGAAGAGUCCUUCUUGGAGCUCUGAUGACAGGUCCAGUUCGGAGUCAGAGCGAGCUAACGCUGAAGUCCGCCAGGGGAAGUCCGCUACAUCCCCAGAUAACAUUGACAGUGGCAGGAAGAAGAUAAAGUUCCCACUCCUCUUCACCAAGACAGCCGUGGCUGUGACCACCACCAACCCACUUCUCACUCAGAAUGACCGGCCCAGCGUGAAGCUUUCUGCCAAAGCAGAAAAGGCCCAUAAGACAGUGAUGGUGGCCAGUAUCCCAGAGGAGAUUGGUGUUGGAGCUAAGGUCAUGCAGAAAAACUUACCGGCCAAACCGAAGUACAGCUGGUCACGGCCCAGUCGAAGUGGAAAAGAUGACAAAGUCCAGGGCAAAGUCAAAGACUUCUACAAGACCAAAGUAGGUAAACAGAAAGAAGAUAACAUCCCGCCAAUAGCCAAAGAACCCCGGAUAAAAGGGUCCUUCCAUGGAGCAGAGCAAGGCAGAGGCAGGGACUAUGGCAGGAGGAGGGCGCCCCUCUCCUACGACAUCCAGUGCAGACUCAACCAAGCCAUGACAGAUUCAGACAGACUCAAAGCUAGAGAGGUCACCAAGAGAAGCGGAACCAUCCGCUGUGAGAAUCUCCAACAAAGUCCCAACCGACAGAUGUCAGAGUUGGAGCGAUUCAAACCCAGGGAUAUCACCAAGAGGAUAAUUCCCUGUGAUGAGCUGCAGCAAAGGCCCAACCAGCCAAUGCCAAAGCCAGAUAAAGCUGCCCUGGUUAAACUCCCGGCGAUUCCACGGCAGAGAUGCCAGACAGCACCAUCAACACAGAGGACCUGGAGGAGUUCCUAAACUCAGUGUCAGUACCUACCCUCUGCUCCAUACUUACCAUUCAUACCUAUUCUGUUCCCCACAACUGUCACUGUUAUUCCCUGACACCUCUAUGUGCUUGUGCCUGUUUGCCUGUAGGGGCAUGACUCGUAUUGAAGACCUGGCAACUACGGUGCCUGACGAUCCCCAGAUCGAUGCCCAGUCUGAUGCCUUCAAAGAAGUCUUUGAGCAGUUUGCAAAGAACAGCGAUGGCUCUCUCAAUGAGGAGGGCCUGGCGUCCACACUGGACAGAGUGGGGAUCAGUAUCAGCCCAGAGGAGGUGAAGAAAGCCCUACAGAAGGCUGACAAGGACGGAGAGGUGGGGUUUCAAGAUGUCCUGCAUGUGAUGGCGGACAGCCAGCGCUUCUCCAAGUGUGUGAAAGGUGAAGAUCCCCGACUAAGAUGUUGCCGCCCUGUGCAACUGGGUACUGGACUUCCUGACGGGCCGCCCCCAGGUGGUGAGGGUAGGCAACAACAUCUCCUCCCCGCUGAUCCUCAACACUGGGGCCCCACAAGGGUGCGUUCUGAGCCCUCUCCUGUACUCCCUGUUCACCCACGACUGCGUGGCCACGCACGCCUCCAACUCAAUCAUCAAGUUUGCGGACGACACAACAGUGGGGCUUG